AAGAGAGCUGAGUAAACACUGUCAGGUAUGUUAUAUCUCCUAGUCAUCAUCACUAUGUGAUGAACACAUAGUGCAGUGCAUGAUGAUAUCAUCACAUAAUUACAUCAUUAUAUAAUGACUUUUUAAAAAUUCAUCCGAAAUCAGAUAAGAUUUUUAACACAAAGCAAAGAAAGAGCCUCAAGUGCCCCGAGCAAAGUGGUUUUAGAAAAUAUAAAAUUAAAUCAAAAUUGGAAGGUCAGAAUUGUUGAAAGCUGUACGGAUACCAGAGAAGGUGUAGGAUCGCUACUCCCACCUUUUCUGACAGGGCUCCUGUCUUUAAGACCUAUGUGUGAGGCUCCAAUUGAAGCAUUUCUCAUCAGCACAUCUCCAUGGUGGGGAAAGCUAAAAAUAACUGAUAAUCAGUAAUUUAAAGAUGGUGAUUGUAACUUUUAAUCACACAGACAUAACGAUCCGUUAAAAUGAGUUUUGCAGUGCAAAAUGUGGAGCAAAACUUGGUGUUACUAAUUUUAUCAAGGAACCUGAGAGUCAUGCACUAACCAUCUACCUCUGUCCAAGAGGGAAUGUAAGUAGCCGCCAUACCUGCGAAACCACUCCAGUUUAAGAAAAAAAAUAGACAGGUACAGGUUUUUCACCAUUUGUUGCUCUGAAUGUUCUUUUUGUCUGAUGUAAUAUGUAACUUACAGUGCAGUCUUGCUAUACAGGUC